ACGAGCGAUAGCUCAGCUGGUAGAGCAUCUGUCCAGUAUGCGGGGGGUCGCCGGUUCGAAUCCGGCUCGCGGCGUC
rnacentral:tRNA from 1 species